rnacentral:rRNA from 1 species
GACGAACGCUGGCGGCGUGCUUAACACAUGCAAGUCGAGCGAGAAACCUUCGGGUUUCUAGCGGCGGACGGAUGAGUAACACGUGGGUAACCUGCCUCAAAGAGGGGGAUAGCCUUCCGAAAGGAAGAUUAAUACCGCAUAAUAUUACAGUUUCGCAUGAAGCAGUAAUUAAAGGAGUAAUCCGCUUUGAGAUGGACCCGCGGCGCAUUAGCUAGUUGGAGAGGUAACGGCUCACCAAGGCAACGAUGCGUAGCCGACCUGAGAGGGUGAUCGGCCACAUUGGAACUGAGACACGGUCCAGACUCCUACGGGAGGCAGCAGUGGGGAAUAUUGCACAAUGGGCGAAAGCCUGAUGCAGCAACGCCGCGUGAGUGAUGAAGGUCUUCGGAUUGUAAAGCUCUGUCUUUUGGGACGAUAAUGACGGUACCAAAGGAGGAAGCCACGGCUAACUACGAGCCAGCCGCCGCGGUAA